UACAGAGGUCCCAAGCGUUGUUCGGAUUCAUUGGGCGUAAAGGGUGCGUAGGCGGCGCGGUAAGUCGGGUGUGAAAUCUCGGGGCUUAACUCCGAAACUGCAUUCGAUACUGCCGUGCUUGAGGACUGGAGAGGAGACUGGAAUUUACGGUGUAGCGGUGAAAUGCGUAGAUAUCGUAAGGAAGACCAGUGGCGAAGGCGGGUCUCUGGCCCGAUACUGACGCUGAGGUGCGAAAGCGUGGGGAGCAAACAGG
rnacentral:rRNA from 1 species